UAGGAUGAAAUUUGAAAAAAAUAGGCAGGACAGGAGUUUUGAGUAAAAAAAAAAAAAGGGCAGGAUGAGCAACUUGGUAAAAAAAAAGGCAGGAUGACAAUAUGUGUAAAAAAAGUCAGGAUAAACUAGUAAAAAAAAAGGCAGGACCGAAUAGAGUAAAAAAUAAAAAGGCAGGACAGGGAUUACAACUUAAAAAAAAAAGCAGGACAAAAUUUUUCAUCCUAGCCCCCCCCCCAUAAAAAUCAAAUGGUUGCUCCCUUAUG
rnacentral:lncRNA from 1 species